rnacentral:lncRNA from 1 species
GUUGUAAUUCUCUUUAAAAAAUAAUAAUAAAAGUGGUUAAAUGAUUCAAAAUGAACAUAGGUUCAUAAUUGUAUAAAAUCAGAUAAUUUAAGCCAAAUAUAACAGUUGAGCGACGGUGCUAGAACCACAAAACUCGGGAAUGCCUUACACCUUCUUCCGGGUUAAUAUAAUUCCUUACCCGAAUUUCUGGUUCGCGGACUGUUAAAUAGAUUCAUUCUUUUCUCGAUUCGGGAUUUAACCCGGUGACUUGGGACACCAUAAUCUCCUAGGUGGCGACUCUGAAAAUCUCUUAUAUAAUUAGAUCCCGUUUCGAUUGUCCUUAAAUUGGAAAAACUCCCUUAUUUACACUCUUUGCUGCGUUGUAGUAGCCAAAAGGAGGUGUGACACAACUUUGGAUUAGUUCCUCCAGGAAAGGAAACUCAUACAAACUAUGUAACCUGUCAGAACAACAACAUGCAGCGUAAGGCCUUAUAACAUGCAGUACAAUAUCAUUUAACAUCCUAUAGUCCAAAUGAGCUUUUAGACAGAACAAUUUCCUACAACAUUUCGACCCUACUAGGCCUCAUUACAGUAAACAUUCACAACUAAAUCCUAAUUAGUUAAAUGGAACAUGGGCAACAGAGUAAACCAAAAGGACCAAAUCAGCUAAUAUUAAUCACUCCAUGUGUUCAUUUUAGAAGUAAGAGGCAAACAGUCCAUAGCUUCACAUGCAUAAUCGAUAUCCAAAGAUGUUCGUUCAGCCUACAUACCUGGAUACAAACAAACCAACCAAAGGAAUAAACCUUGAGCUCGACAGGAACAAGAAAAGUUGCAAAACCAACAGCAAAGAUCAACAGCAAUAAUUAAUUUUAGCUUCAAAUUAAAUCAUUUCCUUCACGCUAAAUCACCAGAAAUCGAAUAGGGUGUUUCCUUUUAACUUUUUUAGAAGAGAAAAGAGUGGAAAAGUUGAAGACUAGCAUUAAUAUUUUUAAGAAAAAAUUUUCAUCCGUUUCUAGUUUUAGGUCUCUAAUCUCAGCCUUGACAAUGAAGGAAGCAGGCAUUAUAUAGCAAGACCUUAGGACAACAGGACUGAUUUUAACAUUACCCCUUUCCCAAUUUUAUCUAUUUAUUUCAGAUCCCAAGUUUUGAACCUGUUUGUUAAACCACCACAAUCCUACCUUGCUGGAAAUUUCCGAAAUUGUUAGGAUUCCCCCUAUCUGAUUUCCCUAAACUACCCCUCAAAUUUCUAUUAUUUACCUUAUCAAAUCCAGUAAAUGUGCCAUACAACCAGAAUUGAAACCCUCUUUUCUUCGGGCUUCUGUACUACAAUGCUCAAUUACCAGUCCAAAACCAACAAACCAUAAGAAGGACAGGCCAAUGGAGUUUUGAACUCCUGGCAUCAGAUUCCCAAAAAAUCUAAAAUAAAAGAAGAAUUGAGCAAAAAAUUAAAAACAAGCACGAAAUCAAAAUAUUCUACCAAAAAUGUCAACUGUAUUAUUAAGCUAAAUGAUACAACCUAAUAUGCUUUAAACCUACAUGCAAGCAGAAUUCGACUUGAAACAGAAAAACUAGGAAGAAAAAGAAAAAAAUCUGAAGGAGACGAAUAUGGGAAGAAAACAAAGAAAGGAGAAAAAACGAACGGAGAUAACCUAAAAUGGGUAGACGUAUAGUUGGCUUGAACGGACCUCCGACACUUUUCAAUUUAAACUAAAAUUUAUAUUAAUCGUAUGAUCUUGUCGAGAACAAACGAUCAAUACAAGUUUCAGGCCAAAUCGUUCUUAGAAACUUAAAGAAUUAUAAGAUUUUUCUUAUUUUUUUCUUUUUUAGAUCUAACACUGGUCAGAUUUGACGGGGAUUUAGGGAGAUGUAGCGGUGGAUUAGGAACUGAGGGUGGGUGGUGAUUGUGUGAAAGGGAUUUGGGGUAGAUUUGGCCGCACCACUGGCCAGUGGAGGCUUAGGAAUUUUAGGGCAGUGGGUCUUCUAUGGCUUAGAUUUGAGAUGGAUGAAAAAGAAGCUGAACAUGGUCCUAGGUUGUUUUGAGGGUAUUCAGACAAUUUUAAACCAAAUACGGGAAAGCUCUCAAAGC